UACGUAGGGUGCGAGCGUUAUUCGGAAUUACUGGGCGUAAAGCGUGCGCAGGCGGUUUUGUAAGCCUGCUGUGAAAUCCCCGGGCUCAACCUGGGAAUGGCAUUUGGGACUGCAAGGCUCGAGUGCGGCAGAGGAGACUGGAAUUCCUGGUGUAGCAGUGAAAUGCGUAGAUAUCAGGAGGAACACCGAUGGCGAAGGCAGGUCUCUGGGCUGACACUGACGCUCAUGCACGAAAGCGUGGGGAGCAAACAGG
rnacentral:rRNA from 1 species